rnacentral:rRNA from 1 species
CCUACGGGAGGCUGCAGUGGGGAAUAUUGCACAAUGGGGGAAACCCUGAUGCAGCAACGCCGCGUGAGUGAUGACGGUCUUCGGAUUGUAAAGCUCUGUCUUCAGGGACGAUAAUGACGGUACCUGAGGAGGAAGCCACGGCUAACUACGUGCCAGCAGCCGCGGUAAUACGUAGGUGGCAAGCGUUGUCCGGAUUUACUGGGCGUAAAGGGAGCGUAGGUGGAUAUUUAAGUGGGAUGUGAAAUACUCGGGCUUAACCUGGGUGCUGCAUUCCA